AAUACGGAGGGGGCUAGCGUUGUUCGGAAUUACUGGGCGUAAAGCGUACGUAGGCGGACUGAUCAGUUGGGGGUGAAAUCCCAGGGCUUAACCCUGGAACUGCCUUCAAUACUGUCAGUCUUGAGAUUGGAAGAGGUGAGUGGAAUUCCUAGUGUAGAGGUGAAAUUCAUAGAUAUUAGGAGGAACACCAGUGGCGAAGGCGGCUCACUGGUCCAAUACUGACGCUGAGGUACGAAAGCGUGGGGAGCAAACAGGAUUAGAAACCCUAGUAGUCC
rnacentral:rRNA from 1 species